AGUACUAAUGACUUCCAAUCAUUAAGCCUUGGUUAAACCCCAAGAGAAAAUA
rnacentral:tRNA from 1 species